AAAUCCCGUAAUUAACUCAGACUCUAUUUCUAAUCUCAUCUAUAGAGGGAGCUAGUCAACCACCAUCGCGCCGCCCGCAAGACCUCGCCGCCGAGCCACCCAUCACAUCCCAUCCCUACCCCCACCGACCACCACAUCACUGGGAUCUCCAUUCCCCUCUAUCGCCCGGCGGCCCUGCACGGACAUAGUGCCGGCAGCAAGAUCCCAUCAUCUUUGGCCUCCUGCUGGACGGUGGACGCCACUGGUGCAGAUUCAGAUUGGACUUCUUUUUUCCAAGUUAUGCUUCCUGGAAGCCCACAUGUUCUACUAACGCAAAGGUGCAGAUUUCCAAUUCGUGUUUUUUUUCUUCGAAUUAUGCUUCCUGAAAGCCCACGUGUUCUACUAUCUCGAUACACUUAUUGUGGAAUAGAAGUAUAAUUUGAUGGACUGGGACAUCACCCUGAUUUUCUAAUUGCCCGCAUUAAAACUCUCAUAUUUUCAUGUCCAGUGAUGAUCAGAAGCUGCUCGAUAAAAUGCCCCUUUGGUUUCAAGGUUCUUUAUUGUCAUUGAUUGCUGUUGACGAAAUGACAUUUGAGAAACAUAACCUAUGAUUAUCCUCCAUCCAGAUGGGAGUGGAAUUAGGCAAUAUAAAUUUUGAUAUGUCUCCAUCCGAUAAAAUGGGCAUAUUGCUUAGCUUUUAGGUGGAGUAACUAACGUACACACGAGUACUGAUGGAUAGGGAGAACAAUUCUUGGUAUGGAUUACCAACACUAUGGUGCUUUGGUGUUGUCUCUUGUCAUGAUUGGCGGAGGAAUCAAGUCUGUUUUUGGUUUCAUCGUAGACAUUCUUAUUCUGGCAUUCUGGAUUAGUUAUUAUGAAGUGCUCAAUGUUUUUGCCAUGAGGAGGCCAUAUGAUGUUGUUGCAAACGACUAGUUGUUGUUUGUGUCUCACUAAUGUAAACAUAAUUUUCAGUAUUUUUAUAUAUUUUGUAACUGAAACGAUAGUUUGUAACUGAAACGUAAUUGAUGAUUUUAA